rnacentral:tRNA from 1 species
GGGGGCGUGGUCUAGUGGACUAGGAUGCCUGCCUGUCACGCAGGAGGUCGCGAGUUCGAAUCUCGUCGCCCCCGCCA